UAAGAUUAGCUAGUUNGUGAGGUAACGGCUCACCAAGGCGACNAUCUUUAACUNGUCUGAGAGGAUGAUCAGUCACACUGGAACUGAGACACGGUCCAGNCUCUANGGGAGGCAGCAGUAGGGAAUAUUGCACAAUGGAGGAAACUCUGAUGCAGCGACGCCGCGUGAGUGAUGAAGGCUUCGGGUCGUAAAGCUCUGUCGCAGGGGAAUAACACAAUGAAUGUACCCUGUAAGAAAGGAUNCGGCCUUGNGUCUCGGANNGGUUACUAGAAUUGUUGGUGUAGUGGUGAAAUACGUAGAUAUCAACAGGAAUACCGGANGNGANGGCGGGUAACUGGCCGAACACUGACACUGAGAUCCNNAAGCGUGGGGAUCAAACAGGAUUAGAUACCCUNGUAGUCCACGCNGUAAACGAUGGAUACUUGUUGUUGGAGGUAUUGACCCCUUCAGUGACGAACUAACGCGUUAAGUAUCCCGCCUNGGGAGUACGGUNGCAAGAUUGANGUNAAGUCCUAAUGGCCCUUAUGCCUAGGGCUACACACGUGCUACAAUGGUAGUACAGAGCGAANCUNAGUCGGCAGGUAGAGCAUNUCGCUUAAAAGCUAUCUAAGUUCGGAUUGAUCUCUGCAACUNGAGAUCAUGAAGUUGGAAUCGCUAGUAAUCGCGGAUCNGAAUGCCGCGGUNAAUACGUUCC
rnacentral:rRNA from 1 species